rnacentral:rRNA from 1 species
AAGAACUUGAUAAAAGCCCUACAGAAGCCAAGCGGUCAGGUAACCGAUGAUCCAACUGAGAUGCAGCAGUUUGCUCUUGAAUUUUAUAAGAAUCUAUACACGUCGGAGGGCAUCCAAGGUUUGCAAGAAGUGCUUGAGCAUGUUCCAGUAAAGGUGACUGCAGCGAUGAACGCAAGCUUGUUGGCUCCAUAUGAUGGGAAAGAGGUCAAAUCAGCCCUGUUUCAAAUGUUCCCAACAAAGGCGCCGGGUCCAGACGGAUUUCCGGCGCAUUUUUUUCAGCGGCAUUGGGAUGUAUGUGGUCAGGCUGUCACCCGGGCCGUGCUUGCUAUUGUUAAUGGAGAAGAAAGCCCUGAGAGGCUCAAUGAUACGUUACUGGUUUUAAUCCCCAAGGUAACAAAUCCCGUCUUACUGUCACAGUUUCGC